rnacentral:rRNA from 1 species
AAAUUGAAGAGUUUGAUCAUGGCUCAGAUUGAACGCUGGCGGCAGGCCUAACACAUGCAAGUCGAGCGGUAGCACAGAGAGCUUGCUCUCGGGUGACGAGCGGCGGACGGGUGAGUAAUGUCUGGGAAACUGCCUGAUGGAGGGGGAUAACUACUGGAAACGGUAGCUAAUACCGCAUAACGUCGCAAGACCAAAGUGGGGGACCUUCGGGCCUCAUGCCAUCAGAUGUGCCCAGAUGGGAUUAGCUGGUAGGUGGGGUAACGGCUCACCUAGGCGACGAUCCCUAGCUGGUCUGAGAGGAUGACCAGCCACACUGGAACUGAGACACGGUCCAGACUCCUACGGGAGGCAGCAGUGGGGAAUAUUGCACAAUGGGCGCAAGCCUGAUGCAGCCAUGCCGCGUGUGUGAAGAAGGCCUUCGGGUUGUAAAGCACUUUCAGCGGGGAGGAAGGCGAUAAGGUUAAUAACCUUGUCGAUUGACGUUACCCGCAGAAGAAGCACCGGCUAACUCCGUGCCAGCAGCCGCGGUAAUACGGAGGGUGCAAGCGUUAAUCGGAAUUACUGGGCGUAAAGCGCACGCAGGCGGUCUGUCAAGUCGGAUGUGAAAUCCCCGGGCUCAACCUGGGAACUGCAUUCGAAACUGGCAGGCUAGAGUCUUGUAGAGGGGGGUAGAAUUCCAGGUGUAGCGGUGAAAUGCGUAGAGAUCUGGAGGAAUACCGGUGGCGAAGGCGGCCCCCUGGACAAAGACUGACGCUCAGGUGCGAAAGCGUGGGGAGCAAACAGGAUUAGAUACCCUGGUAGUCCACGCUGUAAACGAUGUCGAUUUGGAGGUUGUGCCCUUGAGGCGUGGCUUCCGGAGCUAACGCGUUAAAUCGACCGCCUGGGGAGUACGGCCGCAAGGUUAAAACUCAAAUGAAUUGACGGGGGCCCGCACAAGCGGUGGAGCAUGUGGUUUAAUUCGAUGCAACGCGAAGAACCUUACCUGGUCUUGACAUCCACAGAACUUUCCAGAGAUGGAUUGGUGCCUUCGGGAACUGUGAGACAGGUGCUGCAUGGCUGUCGUCAGCUCGUGUUGUGAAAUGUUGGGUUAAGUCCCGCAACGAGCGCAACCCUUAUCCUUUGUUGCCAGCGGUCCGGCCGGGAACUCAAAGGAGACUGCCAGUGAUAAACUGGAGGAAGGUGGGGAUGACGUCAAGUCAUCAUGGCCCUUACGACCAGGGCUACACACGUGCUACAAUGGCAUAUACAAAGAGAAGCGACCUCGCGAGAGCAAGCGGACCUCAUAAAGUAUGUCGUAGUCCGGAUUGGAGUCUGCAACUCGACUCCAUGAAGUCGGAAUCGCUAGUAAUCGUAGAUCAGAAUGCUACGGUGAAUACGUUCCCGGGCCUUGUACACACCGCCCGUCACACCAUGGGAGUGGGUUGCAAAAGAAGUAGGUAGCUUAACCUUCGGGAGGGCGCUUACCACUUUGUGAUUCAUGACUGGGGUGAAGUCGUAACAAGGUAACCGUAGGGGAACCUGCGGUUGGAUCACCUCCUUACCUUAAAGAA